UACGGGGGGGGCAAGCGUUGUUCGGAAUUACUGGGCGUAAAGGGUGCGUAGGUGGCGAUGAAAGUUCGAUGUGAAAUCUCCGGGCUUAACCCGGAAAAGGCAUUGAAAACUAUGUUGCUUGAGGUUUGGAGGGGGGACUGGAAUUCUUGGUGUAGCAGUGAAAUGCGUAGAUAUCAAGAGGAACACCAGUGGCGAAGGCGGGUCCCUGGACAACACCUGACACUGAGGCACGAAAGCUAGGGGAGCAAACAGG
rnacentral:rRNA from 1 species